rnacentral:rRNA from 1 species
GAUGAACGCUGGCGGCGUGCCUAAUACAUGCAAGUCGAGCGAAUGGAUUAAGAGCUUGCUCUUAUGAAGUUAGUGGCGGACGGGUGAGUAACACGUGGGUAACCUGCCCAUAAGACUGGGAUAACUCCGGGAAACCGGGGCUAAUACCGGAUAACAUUUUGAACCGCAUGGUUCGAAAUUGAAAGGCGGCUUCGGCUGUCACUUAUGGAUGGACCCGCGUCGCAUUAGCUAGUUGGUGAGGUAACGGCUCACCAAGGCAACGAUGCGUAGCCGACCUGAGAGGGUGAUCGGCCACACUGGGACUGAGACACGGCACAGACUCCUACGGGAGGCAGCAGUAGGGAAUCUUCCGCAAUGGACGAAAGUCUGACGGAGCAACGCCGCGUGAGUGAUGAAGGCUUUCGGGUCGUAAAACUCUGUUGUUAGGGAAGAACAAGUGCUAGUUGAAUAAGCUGACACCUUGACGGUACCUAACCAGAAAGCCACGGCUAACUACGUGCCAGCCGCCGCGGUAA